UACGUAGGGGGCUAGCGCUAUCCGGAUUUACUGGGUGUAAAGGGCGUGUAGGCGGCUCUGCAAGUCAGAUGUGAAAUUUCCGGGCUUAACCCGGACGGGUCAUCUGAAACUGCAGGACUUGAGUACUGGAGAGGAUAGCGGAAUUCCUAGUGUAGCGGUAAAAUGCGUAGAUAUUAGGAGGAACACCGGUGGCGAAGGCGGCUAUCUGGACAGUAACUGACGCUGAGGCGCGAAAGCGUGGGGAGCAAACAGGAUUAGAUACCCCCGUAGUCCCUGA
rnacentral:rRNA from 1 species